AAGUCGUAACAAGGUCUCCGUUGGUGAACCAGCGGAGGGAUCAUUACAGAGUUUUCGACUCCCAAAACCCUUUGUGAACAUACCACUGUUGCUUCGGCGGGACCGCCCCGGCGCCUCGAGAGGGGACCGGAACCAAGGCGCCCGCCGGAGGCCCGAAACUCUUGCCUUUCUCUCGCGGAAUUUUCUCAGAGUGGCGUAAUGCAAAACAAAUGAAUCAAAACUUUCAACAACGGAUCUCUUGGUUCUG
rnacentral:misc_RNA from 1 species